GGUUGGUUAGCUCAGUCAGUUGAGCGGGGUGCUAACAACGCCAAGGUCGCAGGUUCGAUUCCCGUUCAGUCCC
rfam:Apaloderma vittatum contig1547, whole genome shotgun sequence.